GAUGAACGCUGGCGGCGUGCCUAACACAUGCAAGUCGAACGGGGUUAAGGGAAAUUUUCGGAUGGAACUUAACUUAGUGGCGGACGGGUGAGUAACGCGUGGAUAACCUGCCUCACACUGGGGGAUAGCAGCUGGAAACGUCUGGUAAUACCGCAUAAGACCACAGCACCGCAUGGUGCAGGGAUAAAAGAUUUAUCGGUGUGAGAUGGAUCCGCGUCUGAUUAGCCAGUUGGCGGGGUAACGGCCCACCAAAGCGACGAUCAGUAGCCAGCCUGAGAGGGUGAACGGCCACAUUGGGACUGAGACACGGCCCAAACUCCUACGGGAGGCAGCAGUGGGGAAUAUUGCACAAUGGGCGCAAGCCUGAUGCAGCAACGCCGCGUGAGUGAAGAAGUAUUUCGGUAUGUAAAGCUCUAUCGGCAGGGAAGAAAGGCCCAUAACAGGGAGAUGACGGUACCUGACUAAGAAGCCCCGGCUAACUACGUGCCAG
rnacentral:rRNA from 1 species